rnacentral:rRNA from 1 species
GAUGAACGCUGGCGGCGUGCCUAAUACAUGCAAGUCGAGCGAACGGACGAGAAGCUUGCUUCUCUGAUGUUAGCGGCGGACGGGUGAGUAACACGUGGAUAACCUACCUAUAAGACUGGGAUAACUUCGGGAAACCGGAGCUAAUACCGGGUAAUAUUUUGAACCGCAUGGUUCAAAAGUGAAAGACGGUCUUGCUGUCACUUAUAGAUGGAUCCGCGCUGCAUUAGCUAGUUGGUAAGGUAACGGCUUACCAAGGCAACGAUGCAUAGCCGACCUGAGAGGGUGAUCGGCCACACUGGAACUGAGACACGGUCCAGACUCCUACGGGAGGCAGCAGUAGGGAAUCUUCCGCAAUGGGCGAAAGCCUGACGGAGCAACGCCGCGUGAGUGAUGAAGGUCUUCGGAUCGUAAAACUCUGUUAUUAGGGAAGAACAUAUGUGUAAGUGACUGUGCACAUCUUGACGGUACCUAAGCAGAAAGCCACGGCUAACUACGU